ACAUGCUCACAUCAUAGUGUUAAUGCAUUGGAUCCCAUUAGAACUCCACAGUUACGUGCACUCAAGAUAGAGUAGUAUUGGGAUGGGUGACUGCCCGAGAAGUCCUAGUAUUUUACAUGCC
rfam:Picea glauca, whole genome shotgun sequence.